GACGAACGCUGGCGGCGUGCUUAACACAUGCAAGUCGAACGGAAAGGCCCUGCUUUUGUGGGGUGCUCGAGUGGCGAACGGGUGAGUAACACGUGAGUAACCUGCCCUUGACUUUGGGAUAACUUCAGGAAACUGGGGCUAAUACCGGAUAGGAGCUCCUGCUGCAUGGUGGGGGUUGGAAAGUUUCGGCGGUUGGGGAUGGACUCGCGGCUUAUCAGCUUGUUGGUGGGGUAGUGGCUUACCAAGGCUUUGACGGGUAGCCGGCCUGAGAGGGUGACCGGCCACAUUGGGAAUGAGAUAAGGCCCAGACUCCUACGGGAGGCAGCAGUGGGGAAUAUUGCAAAAUGGGCGGAAGCCUGAUGCAGCAACGCCGCGUGCGGGAUGACGGCCUUCGGGUUGUAAACCGCUUUCGCCUGGGACGAAGCGGGAGUGACGGUAAUGGGUAAAGAAGCACCGGCUAACUACGUG
rnacentral:rRNA from 1 species